rnacentral:antisense_RNA from 1 species
GGCGCCUUGCCGACCGGGCGUAACCCGUUG